ensembl:lncRNA
GUGUACUGUCGUAUCGCUUUCUAGUGCUGAGCAAUUUAUAUUUAAACCGGCAGAUUAAGAGGACCCAAUAUUCACCACAAUGUCACCAGCAAUGCGUAUUUGAAUUUAUUUUUACUUUGUUCUGCUAAUUUAGUCAGUGUAAAAUGGUAUCCCAAGGUGGAUUUAAUUUGCACUUCUUGCGUUUCUGGUGAAGAUUAAUAUGUUUCCCUGUGUUUCUUUGCUAUUUAUAAGUUUUCCAGAGUUACAGUUAAACUUUUGAAUCUCUUGUCACGUUCAGGGCAUGGCUUUUUGCUUCUUCUUUGUCAAGGCAACUGAAACUUAACAGAGACCCGCAAAGCCAGUGAUGGAACAGGACUGUGGUUUGGUUCAGUGCCCCGGGAUGUGCUCUUAGCCAAAUCAUCUUGUGUCCUGGAAGUCUUAGGGCAAAAAUAUCCAGGUGGGAGGAAGACAGGAAGAAGAAAGAUAUUCCAAGUCAGCUUUCUGGGAAAGAGACUCUGAGAUCAAGAUCUGCAUACAGGAGAUUCUUGGGAGGAGUUUCCUCAAGAUUAAGACCAGGAAGAGGUGACAGAAGCUGGAGCCAGCUGAGGGAGGGGCUGAGUAACUGCAAUCUCAGCAGUGGUCCUGGGUAGCACUACUGGUGAAAUGACCCUUCAUUGUUGACCUACUUGAAGGCAAGGGUUCCAGGACUUUCUUCCUCCACAUGGACCAGUCAUCUGAUGUGGGCUAUCCCAGGGAAGGCAUUCUGAGCUUGGAUGAAGCAGCUGUUUUCAAUAGAAGGCAAAUCUCACAGAAGCCCUCAACUGUGAACUGUCAGCCAUCAAUACUGUUAGCAGCUGGGGGGAUGCAUGUAGAGUCCUGAAGAGGGACUCUGGUUGACAUAUCACAGCAUCCCCUGCUGAAGGAAUCCUAUAUGGGUUGAGACACUCUAGUUUCCUUUCAUAUAUGCUAUCACUUUAGUUAUCCACUGAUGUAAACAUCCCAAAACAGCCUGAAACAAACAAAACAUUUCCAUUUUGCUCACGAUUCUGCCAGUGGGGCUGGGCUCAGCUGGGAAGUUCUUCUGCUGGUCUUGCUGGUGAUCUCUCACUGGCUGUAUUCUGCUGCUAAGGAAGCUAUGAUGGGCUGAGCUCAGCUGGAUGAUGAGAUGGCCAGGCUUCUCUCCCUCUCUCCAGGGAGUCUGAGGGCUUCUUCUUCUCACUGUGGCCUCAACAAUUCCAGGCAGCAUAUUUGUAUGGUUUUUCCAACAAGACAGGACAUGGGAACUGAAGAGAAAGGAGAGAACAUAAUGAAGACCCUCCGUCGAGGGAUUCUCCAGCUGCAUGAAAAAUAAACAUGCAGAGAAAGAACCAGGAAAAACUACAGGACACCUAACUGUUCUCCUGGAGGAAAUGUUGACAAAGCAAGUGAGGGAGGUUUGGGUAUGUGAAGGCGAUUUGCACGUCUGCAGUGCACACAUCCUGCCUUGUCUACUCAUCACAGCCGUCCUGUGGCUGGGAAUGACGGCUGAUAAUUCAGGCUGCCAAUCUAACUUAGGAGCGAGAUUCCUCAAGCCCACGGCAGGAAAACAUGCUGUUUGGAUGACAGCGCUGCGUUGGAAAGGCACAGGUGUGUCUCCAGUCCUGCGGUUCGAGUGCUCACAGCUCAGCCCCAGAGGCGCUUCCCACAGUGGGUUAGGAAAGGACACUGUGAGACCCCUGCCUACACCUCCCAGAGACACAUGUGAUUCCAGAGAUGCAUGAGGGCUUUCCUCUACCAUCAGUCACCCCUGGGCAUCCUACAC